rnacentral:rRNA from 1 species
CGGGGAAUUUUGGACAAUGGGCGAAAGCCUGAUCCAGCAAUGCCGCGUGUGUGAAGAAGGCCUUCGGGUUGUAAAGCACUUUUGUCCGGAAAGAAAUCCUUGGCUCUAAUACAGUCGGGGGAUGACGGUACCGGAAGAAUAAGCACCGGCUAACUACGUGCCAGCAGCCGCGGUAAUACGUAGGGUGCAAGCGUUAAUCGGAAUUACUGGGCGUAAAGCGUGCGCAGGCGGUUUGCUAAGACCGAUGUGAAAUCCCCGGGCUCAACCUGGGAACUGCAUUGGUGACUGGCAGGCUAGAGUAUGGCAGAGGGGGGUAGAAUUCCACGUGUAGCAGUGAAAUGCGUAGAGAUGUGGAGGAAUACCGAUGGCGAAGGCAGCCCCCUGGGCCAAUACUGACGCUCAUGCACGAAAGCGUGGGGAGCAAACAGGAUUAGAUACCCUGGUAGUCCACGCCCUAAACGAUGUCAACUAGUUGUUGGGGAUUCAUUUCCUUAGUAACGUAGCUAACGCGUGAAGUUGACCGCCUGGGGAGUACGGUCGCAAGAUUAAAACUUAAAUGAAUUGACGGGGUCAUAGCUGUUUCCU